CCCCUCCAGAGCCCUCACCCAUCAGCUCUACACAUUGAUCUGAGUGACAAUAAAGGGGGAAAAGCUAAUCUGAAAUAGACUUGGAUUCUUUUUUUUCAUUCUUUUGCGAUGUACAAAUUGGUUUAAAAAUAACAAAA
rnacentral:snoRNA from 1 species